CGCCUUCACCGCGAAGCCCUC
rnacentral:misc_RNA from 1 species